GACGAACGCUGGCGGCGUGCCUAAUACAUGCAAGUCGAACGCUGAAGAGAGGAGCUUGCUCUUCUUGGAUGAGUUGCGAACGGGUGAGUAACGCGUAGGUAACCUGCCUUGUAGCGGGGGAUAACUAUUGGAAACGAUAGCUAAUACCGCAUAACAAUAGGUGACACAUGUCAUUUAUUUGAAAGGGGCAAUUGCUCCACUACAAGAUGGACCUGCGUUGUAUUAGCUAGUAGGUGAGGUAACGGCUCACCUAGGCGACGAUACAUAGCCGACCUGAGAGGGGGAUCUGCCAAAAUGGGACUGAGACACGGCCCAGACCCCUACGGGGGGCAGCCGUAGGGAAACUUCGGCAAUGGGGGCAACCCUGACCGGGCAACGCCGCGGGAGUGAAGAAGGGUUUCGGAUCGUAAAGCUCUGUUGUAAGUCAAGAACGAGUGUGAGAGUGGAAAGUUCACACUGUGACGGUAGCUUACCAGAAAGGGACGGCUAACUACGUG
rnacentral:rRNA from 1 species